rnacentral:rRNA from 1 species
GACGAACGCUGGCGGCGUGCUUAACACAUGCAAGUCGAACGGAAAGGCCCUGCUUUUGUGGGGUGCUCGUGUGGCGAACGGGUGAGUAACACGUGAGUAACCUGCCCUUGACUUUGGGAUAACUUCAGGAAACUGGGGCUAAUACCGGAUAGGAGCUCCUGCUGCAUGGUGGGGGUUGGAAAGUUUCGGCGGUUGGGGAUGGACUCGCGGCUUAUCAGCUUGUUGGUGGGGUAGUGGCUUACCAAGGCUUUGACGGGUAGCCGGCCUGAGAGGGUGACCGGACACAUUGGGACUGAGAUACGGCCCAGACUCCUACGGGAGGCAGCAGUGGGGAAUAUUGCACAAUGGGCGGAAGCCUGAUGCAGCAACGCCGCGUGCGGGAUGACGGCCUUCGGGUUGUAAACCGCUUUCGCCUGUGACGAAGCGUGAGUGACGGUAAUGGGUAAAGAAGCACCGGCUAACUACGUG